rnacentral:rRNA from 1 species
GAUGAACGCUAGCUACAGGCUUAACACAUGCAAGUCGAGGGGAAACGGCAUUGAGUGCUUGCACUCUUUGGACGUCGACCGGCGCACGGGUGAGUAACGCGUAUCCAACCUUCCCAUUACUGUGGGAUAACCUGCCGAAAGGCAGACUAAUACCGCAUAGUCUUCGAUGACGGCAUCAGAUUUGAAGUAAAGAUUUAUCGGUAAUGGAUGGGGAUGCGUCUGAUUAGCUUGUUGGCGGGGUAACGGCCCACCAAGGCUACGAUCAGUAGGGGUUCUGAGAGGAAGGUCCCCCACAUUGGAACGGAGACACGGUCCAAACUCCUACGGGAGGCAGCAGUGAGGAAUAUUGGUCAAUGGACGGAAGUCUGAACCAGCCAAGUAGCGUGCAGGAUGACGGCCCUAUGGGUUGUAAACUGCUUUUGUAUGGGGAUAAAGUUAGGGACGUGUCCCUAUUUGCAGGUACCAUACGAAUAAGGACCGGCUAAUUCCGUG